rnacentral:piRNA from 1 species
CCUCUGCUGUGUUCGCGCCUCCUCCACC